ACCAAUGUGGCGUAGCGAUUUGAGCACUGGAUUAUGAUUCUAGAGACCAGGGUUCGAAUCCUGGCUUGGCCA